rnacentral:lncRNA from 10 species
AGUUGCUUUGGAAGCACAGGAUGUCUGGUCUUAAAACACGGCAGUACGUGUUUGCUCACUCCAUUAUAAACGACUUUGGCAGUCCUUAAGAGUAUACAACAUAACCGCAUUGACUAUUUUUUCAAGUUUUCAUUUCCGGAGCCUGACUAAAUAUCAAAUGCUUCAGGUGAAUGCUCUGGCAAAAAGCAAGCCGUUCUCACAUCGACUCUAUCUCAGAAGCAGCUAAUUCUGACUCUGUGUCUGGGAGUAACGAAGGGGACCUCUUUAUCCCUAGGUCCUGACAAUCCCUUCAAGAUAAAAUAAGAUUCUGAAUAAUCCUCAAACCAAUUAAAUUUGCCUAUAGCGACAGUCUAUCCCAGAUCAUCUAAAUUUCCACAGUGUUGUGGCCUCCACUGGUGCCAUCUUUGAUAAACAGACUUACUUUGUAGGCAAGUAAGGCUAGAGCUCUAGAACACUCGCACCAUGACGUUUAUUUGAUUAUGGCCUUUCUAUGUAGCUGGUGAGGGCUUCCCACCAGGUCUUUGAGAAAAAAAGCAAGUAAGGAUAUUUUGCUGAAUAAAUUCGUAUGGCCAAUGAGUUCAGUAUUCAAGUUUUCCUCUGUCAAUAAUUCUGGAUAGUUGGAAUGUCGUGUUGACAUGAUUCCUUCUACUUUAACAUAAGUAUAAAUUUGGGUCAAAUUUUACAAAAAACUAGGAAUUUCUUGAUACCUUUUUUUUUUAAGUUACAGUAACAUCCUAUUUCCUUUUCUUUUUUAAAAUUUUUAUUUCUCUUUUUUUUAAUAAGCCUUUGUCAGAAUCUUAAAAAAAAAAUAGAGAUGGGCUUCUUGCUAUGCUGCCCAGGCUGGUCUUGAACUCCUGGCCUCAAGUGAUCCUCUUGCCUUGGCCUCCCAAAGUGCUGGGAUUACAGUCAUGAGCCACCAUGCCCAGCCCAUCCUAGUUCUUAAAACCAGAUUAUUUGGAUUGAAAUAUACAUAUGUAUAUGAAUAUAUAAUAUCUAAUUCCUCUUAAAAUGGAAUCCAGAUAAUAAUGUUUGCAUUUUCAUGAUGCUCUACUGUAAGUAAAGUGGCUAAGUGGUGCCUCUGGGACUUGAACUCAUGCAGAUUUUACUGCCACUUCAUAGUAUGUUCAUAAUAGCUUCUCUCAGGCAGGGCUAUUAUUCCCACUUACAAAUGAGCAGACUAAGGCUCAUAGAGAUUUAAUGAGCUGCUAAUGUCAGAAGACUAAGAGUCAGAACUAGAAUCCCAGUUCAUGCUUUUUAUUCAAUAUAAUCUAUGCAUGAUGAUGUUUAUUGCAGCUGUACUGUUAACAGCAUAACAACAGAAAAUCACCAGAUGG